GACGAACGCUGGCGGCGUGCCUAAUACAUGCAGGUCGAACGCAAAACUUUCACCGAAUGCUUGCAUUCACGAAAGUUUUGAGUGGCGAACGGGUGAGUAACACGUGGGUAACCUGCCCAGAAGAGGGGGAUAACACUUGGAAACAGGUGCUAAUACCGCAUAAUAACAAAAACCGCAUGGUUUUUGUUUGAAAGAUGGUUUUGCUAUCAUUUCUGGAUGGACCCCGCGGCGUAUUAG
rnacentral:rRNA from 1 species